rnacentral:rRNA from 1 species
CGUAACAGGUCUCCGUAGGUGAACCUGCGGAGGGAUCAUUACAAGAACGCCCGGGCUUCGGCCUGGUUAUUCAUAACCCUUUGUUGUCCGACUCUGUUGCCUCCGGGGCGACCCUGCCUUCGGGCGGGGGCUCCGGGUGGACACUUCAAACUCUUGCGUAACUUUGCAGUCUGAGUAAACUUAAUUAAUAAAUUAAAACUUUUAACAACGGAUCUCUUGGUUCUGGCAUCGAUGAAGAACGCAGCGAAAUGCGAUAAGUAAUGUGAAUUGCAGAAUUCAGUGAAUCAUCGAAUCUUUGAACGCACAUUGCGCCCCCUGGUAUUCCGGGGGGCAUGCCUGCUCGAGCGUCAUUUCACCACUCAAGCCUCGCUUGGUAUUGGGCAACGCGGUCCGCCGCGUGCCUCAAAUCGUCCGGCUGGGUCUUCUGUCCCCUAAGCGUUGUGGAAACUAUUCGCUAAAGGGUGUUCGGGAGGCUACGCCGUAAAACAACCCCAUUUCUAAGGUUGACCUCGGAUCAGGUAGGGAUACCCGCUGAACUUAAGCA